AUUGAACGCUGGCGGCAGGCCUAACACAUGCAAGUCGAACGAGUGGCGGACGGGUGAGUAAUGUCUGGGAAACUGCCCGAUGGAGGGGGAUAACUAAUGGAAACGGUAGCUAAUACCGCAUACCAUCGGAUGUGCCCAGAUGGGAGUAGCUAGUAGGUGGGGUAACGGCUCACCUAGGCGACGAUCCCUAGCUGGUCUGAGAGGAUGACCAGCCCCACUGGAACUGAGACACGCUGCAGACUCCGACGGGAGGCAGCAGUGGAGAAUAUUGCACACUGGGCGCAAGCCUGAUGCAUCCAUGCCGCGUGUAUGAAGAAGGCCUUCGGGUUGUAAAGUACUUUCAGCGAGGAGGCGUUACUCGCAGAAGAAGCACCGGCUAACUCCGUGCCAGCAGCCGCGGUAAUUC
rnacentral:rRNA from 1 species